GAUGAACGCUGGCGGCGUGCCUAAUACAUGCAAGUCGAGCGAACGGACGAGAAGCCUGCUUUUCUGAUGUUAGCGGCGGACGGGUGAGUAACACGUGGAUAACCUACCUAUAAGACUGGGAUAACUUCGGGAAACCGGAGCUAAUACCGGAUAAUAUUUUGAACCGCAUGGUUCAAAAGUGAAAGACGGUCUUGCUGUCACUUAUAGAUGGAUCCGCGCUGCAUUAGCUUGUUGGUAAGGUAACGGCUUACCAAGGCAACGAUGCAUAGCCGACCUGAGAGGGUGAUCGGCCACACUGGAACUGAGACACGGUCCAGACUCCUACGGGAGGCAGCAGUAGGGAAUCUUCCGCAAUGGGCGAAAGCCUGACGGAGCAACGCCGCGUGAGUGAUGAAGGUCUUCGGAUCGUAAAACUCUGUUAUUAGGGAAGAACAUAUGUGUAAGUAACUGUGCACAUCUUGACGGUACCUAAUCAGAAAGCCACGGCUAACUACGUG
rnacentral:rRNA from 1 species